AGCGAAAUGCGAUAAGUAAUGUGAAUUGCAGAAUUCAGUGAAUCAUCGAAUCUUUGAACGCACCUUGCGCCCUUUGGUAUUCCGAAGGGCAUGCCUGUUUGAGUGUCAUUAAAUUC
rnacentral:rRNA from 1 species